UACGAAGGGGGCUAGCGUUGCUCGGAAUCACUGGGCGUAAAGCGCACGUAGGCGGCUUACUAAGUCAGGGGUGAAAUCCUGGAGCUCAACUCCAGAACUGCCUUUGAUACUGGUGAGCUUGAGUCCGGGAGAGGUGAGUGGAACUGCGAGUGUAGAGGUGAAAUUCGUAGAUAUUCGCAAGAACACCAGUGGCGAAGGCGGCUCACUGGCCCGGUACUGACGCUGAGGCACGAAGGCCAGGGGAGCAAACGGG
rnacentral:rRNA from 1 species